UGUUUAGUACUCCCCUUUGGUUUACUCUUUGAAGGCUCUUUUACACAUCCUUUUAUCACCAUUCUCAGUCUAGUUUCAUCCAUCUUUCAUAGCAUUCACCAUCAUUUUUGUACAUUUUGCAUCUUUAGUCGAGUCUAGGACUAGUCUUGCAUACAUUCUGCAUUCUGGAUUUGUUUCAGGUGUUUUGAAGCUAUUGGUGCUCUGAAAGAGGAAAAACAGAACAGAAAGUCACAUUUCCACCUACAUACUCGAUCACCAGUAGCAGAGAGGGAAGCAGUCAGCUCAGUAGUCCAUCCAGACACUUCUACUCGAUCGCAGAGGAGACCAGGCAGACCAUUCUGGCAGAUAUACUCGAUCGCAGAGGAGAGGAGGCGGUCCAUUCUGCAAUUCUACUCUAUCGCAGAGGCAACCAGGCAGUCCACUUUGCUAGUCCACCAGUUAUACUCGAUCGCAAAGGAGAAGAACCAGUCCAUCCUGACAGCUGACACACUUACUCGAUCACAGAGGCCAAGAAGCAGCACAGACCAUUCUGUCAACCAACCUACUCGACCACCACCUCGACCCUCUGAUCCAUCCGCACUCAACCAAACAACCUGAGCAUCCGAAAGAGAAGAGAAGAGAAGGCCCAUUCGAAGCCCAUUUGAAGCCUAUCAGGAAGCCCACUUUGAGCCGAUACUCUUGAUCACGUCGUCUAUGGGCCGUUAAGUGGGCUCGAAGCCCGCUUUCUUAUCUUAGUAUAAAUAAGUCUCUAAGGGUUUCGCCUUGAGACAUGCACUUUUAGAGACACGAAAAUCAAACAGAAACAGCAAAACACUCGACCAACACAACUCUGUGUAGAGCACUGGAUGAGGUCGAGUGACAGGUCGAGUAACAGGCAGAAAGUGAAACAGGGAUACUCGACUGCACAGUCUGUUGCCAGACAACUGGGUGGUCGAGUAUCAGGUUGAGUAACAGGAAAGAAUUGCAGAAACUAUGCAACAGAUAACAAGAUGCAGUAAACAACAGUAGAGUAAACAAAGAAUUCAAUCAGAUAAAGAAUUCCCGAGGAUGGGGUAAUCGAGUAGUUUCGUUUUCUCAGUUUACAGGUGAUUGACAUGCUCAAUAAAUUAACCCUAGACAACAAGUUCCUUAACCAAAUCUAAGUGCCACCGCAACAGAGACUCUCAAGUUAACCUAGUCCCAGACUCAAUCACCAUUGACGAGAGCUAACCUAACAGGCAUUACGAAUCAACAAGUUAAAGCCAAAACGCUCCCUGCAACCAAUACCUUGGUACAGGGUCACGAAUCCCUGGAAUUAGUGGUUCAGACAUUUCAUCGAACACCUUUUGGGCGCGGAAAUGUCUGGGCUCAAAUUCCAGUUGAUCAGAAAGCAAUAGGCAUUAAGAAUAACUAAUCCAGAAGAGAUGUAUCAAUCAAUACUCAAUCACCUAGCAUACUGAGAAUCCUACACUACUCUAACCCAUCCUCAGAAACCUAUUCACUACUCAGACAUCAUAACAGAAAGCAUAGACGUUGAACAAGUUGAAAACAUGAUAACAACAGUGUAAUAGCAGGAUGAUAACAGAAUGAACAACAGUAAACAAAAUCAAGAACAAAAGCUGAAUACUAAAGACUGAAUAGAUAAAGAGAAAUCCGGAUUACAAAAAGUAUAGAACAAAAGGUCUGCGGAAUAAAACUAGAUAAAAAACUUCUUGUCCAAAAAUAUGAACUACAUGCUACUUAUAGUCAAAUAUUCCGAAACCCUAAUACUCAAAACGACGAAGUAUUGAGACGGAUUAAGAACUGUACUCGACCCAUGUGGUAGACUGGGAGGUCGAGCGAGUAGCUGGAGUCUUCUUUUCUUCCUUGUGCUCGAGUGUCUGGUUGAGUGCGGAAUGAAGAAGGCUCUGCAGCUUGUCAUCGAGUAUGCAGUCGAGUGGUGUGAUGGUGAUACUCGACUUCCUGGUAGAGUAUGCAGUCAAGUGGUGUGAUGGUGAUACUCGACUUCCUGGUAGAGUGAUGAGGUCGAGUAGUUGUCUGGCAAAGGGAUGAAGACACUUGACCUGGGGGUCGAGUGAUGUGAUCGAGUGGUGGUCAGGAGAUGGAGAUGAAGUCACUCGACCUGGGGGUCGAGUGAUGUGAUUGAGUGGUGGUCAGAAGAUAGAGUGGUGGUGUCUUCUACUCGCCUGGGGGUCGAGUGGUCUCUUGAGAUCUUGAAGCUCCUACUCGACCUCUGGGUCGAGUGGUUUGUCAUGAUCAGGUCCGCUUCUUCCAGUUAGCUCGUCGACAGCUCCAAAUCACGUGAAAACAACACAAAUAUACAACAUGCAUGCAAAACUAUCCUAAACAUGCAAAGUGAUGACAAAUGAUGUGAAAUGGUAUAAAACAGUGAUGAUAUGAUGCUAAAAUAAUGACAAAUGGAUGCUUAAAACAUGCAAAAUAUACACUUAUCAGUGUUUUAGGAUAAUUGAUCUCAAAAACCUAUUAUUAGCUUGGAUUGAACAGUUUGAGAUCCUUUUUUUUCAUGCUAAGCUGAUCCAAGUAGAUUUCAUGAGAUGCCAUAGGUACCAAAAUGGUUUUUCUUCCU
rnacentral:sRNA from 1 species